rnacentral:piRNA from 1 species
UGUUGUUGAGAUGAAAAUCCCCUGGGGGAGA